GACGAACGCUGGCGGCGUGCUUAACACAUGCAAGUCGAACGGUGAUGCUCCAGCUUGCUGGAGUGGAUCAGUGGCGAACGGGUGAGUAACACGUGAGCAACCUGCCCCAGACUCUGGAAUAAGCGCUGGAAACGGCGUCUAAUACUGGAUACGAAACUGGCCCGCAUGGGCAUGGUUUGGAAAGUUUUUCGGUUUGGGAUGGGCUCGCGGCCUAUCAGCUUGUUGGUGAGGUGAUGGCUCACCAAGGCGACGACGGGUAGCCGGCCUGAGAGGGCGACCGGCCACACUGGGACUGAGACACGGCCCAGACUCCUACGGGAGGCAGCAGUGGGGAAUAUUGCACAAUGGGCGAAAGCCUGAUGCAGCGACGCCGCGUGAGGGAUGACGGCCUUCGGGUUGUAAACCUCUUUCAGCAGGGAAGAAGCGAAAGUGACGGUACCUGCAGAAGAAGCACCGGCUAACUACGUG
rnacentral:rRNA from 1 species